rnacentral:misc_RNA from 1 species
GAUGAAGAACGCAGCGAAAUGCGAUAAGUAAUGUGAAUUGCAGAAUUCAGUGAAUCAUCGAAUCUUUGAACGCACAUUGCGCCCCCUGGUAUUCCGGGGGGCAUGCCUGUUCGAGCGUCAUUUCAACCCUCAAGCUCUGCUUGGUAUUGAGUCCAUGUCAGCAAUGGCAGGCUCCAAAAUCAGUGGCGGCGCCGCUGGGUCCUGAACGUAGUAAUAUCUCUCGUUACAGGUGCUCGGCGUGCUUCUGCCAAAACCCCAAUUUUUCUAUGGUUGACCUCGGAUCAGGUAGGGAUACCCGCUGAACUUAAGCAUACAAUAAGCGGAGGA